CUCAGUUUUAUUUUAAAACCAUCAUCAGUAGCACGCAGGAAACAACACCUCAUAAAUACCUGGUGUGUCAGCUGACUGCAGUUGCAGUAAUUGGGCUGCUGAUGUCACAGGCUUACACUUCUUACACUGAGGCUGAAAUCUGAAUGUCAUAAAAAAAAGAAAAAGAAUCUGGACAGAAGUUGUCUUUAUUUUUAAACGUCUUAUUUUAAAUGGAAAGUUUCAGAUCCAUGAAUGCAACGGUCUAAAAGGAAACCCAAUAUUCACGCAUUCAAGAAUGAAAUAAAACUAUACUUUGAAACACUGAAAGGACUGAUGAAUCAGAGCCAUCAGGCCCAUGGUCAUCUACAACGCCUUAAAAAUCUCUUUUUAAUGUAAGUAUAUGUACCUCUUUUGUUCUUUUCUUAGAUGUAUUCCUCAUGUUUUUGUAUGAUUACAGAUUAAAACAUUUUUUAACAGGUCUACUGGAAAAAAUGGAGAGCAACUUCUGAAAGUAAAACUGAACAAACUCAUCUCUCCCUCCUGUGGGCUGUUUUCACAGCUGACAUUUUGGCUCGUCAUUGAGAUGAAAAUUGGAGGUGUAGUUAAUCACAAUAACAAUGGCUGUGAUUCACUGAGGUGUUCCAGGUUCAGGCUCCUGGUGGCUCAAUGGGACACUUUAAAACAAUGGAGCCAUCAUCAGUGUGAUUGGUUACACCUGUGCCUUUGUUGUGGCGUCAAAAAAAAAUUAUACCUACCAUAUUCAAGCCUUGUCACAAGUGAUGAAAGCACCUGCUAAUAGUUAUCCAAUCACUCAGACAUCACAAAGCAGCUGUGGCUGGUUUGUACAUUCAGGUGAAGGACUUGGCUGCAGCACAGAGGAUGUUACCUGAAAUGCUUCAGAUGGAGAAUGGAGUGGUUGGAGAAUGGAGGCUGUGUUUGUUCAAAGCUGUGGCCGUCUUCUUUUAGCUUUUUACUUUUCAACCAUGCUGAGGCUGAACACAUUCCUCAAGCGAACGCUGGCAGGUGUGCUCUUCUCACGAGAGGGACAACAUGGACACCAGAGCUGCUCCACCUGGGCUUCAUCAAAGACCUUCAGAAACAACAGCUGCUCUCCUGUGUGUGGAGGGAGGACUGUGAAGUCGGUGCUGCACGCCGUGCCUGCACUCUGCCGAUGUUCAGUGUCUGUUUGUGUGACCAUUUUGGCCCUGUCAGCUCAGUGCUGGAACUUCAGACACAGAGUCUCCACCAUUACGACUUUAUGUGGAUGCAUCAGACCAUUACUGUCCACCUUUCAGACUGUAACUGGCUACUCCACUCAGGUACUUGGAAUUGUUUGGGAUCUGUCAUCACUCAUGGGCAGCACCUGAAUGUCUCCAGGACUCUUUGUAUAAACUGUGGUCAAACUAACCAAAAAUGAUUGUAAACUUUUUUUUAAAUAUUAUUCCACAUGUAAGUUUAACUGGAUUUCUACUGCUUGUUUUUAUUCUAAUAAAAUAAUUGUGACAUUUGCUGAGUCUAACCAAGCACGAUGUCUGGCACUAGGGCUGUGUGAUUAAUCAAAUUUGACAUGCACCAACGUUACAACAUAACUGAUCUUAUAUAUAUUUGAGUUAUUUCUAUUUCAUAAAUGUAUACAUAUUAAUCAUUCUGUUUCUUUUGUUGCAUUUAUUUUUCAGUUGAAAUAUGCUCAAGAAAAUCCAGUAAAUGGAUGUUUGUUGUUUGUUAAUGAGUAAUCAUGAUCUUAAUAAUUCUGAUUAUGAUUUAUAUCUAUAAUCAAGCAGCUCGAUUACAUGUGGGACUAUGACCACGUACACCCUCAACUGCACCUCCUCAUCGAAUGAGCUCAGACAGGUAAAAAGGGAAGUACUUGACACUUUAUUGCAUCGCUCCACUAAUACAUAGUGCCCUACUCCCUCAGUAAACCAACAGCUUCCAACAGAUGUUGCUAGGAUUCAGUGCAGCGUCCUUUGUCAAUGCCUCCAGUCAAGAAAUCAAAAUCUGCUUACAACAUGUACAGUAUGUGGGUUACAAAAAGUACCUGUAACAACAUUGUCCAGUUUUCAAACCCUUUUCACUGGCUCAGGAAAAGCUUAAUGUUCAGGGGGGGGAAAGAAAUGCAAAAGUUAAGGCUUGAUUGCAAAAGCAAGAUAAAUAUUAAACUCAGUAUG